rnacentral:rRNA from 1 species
AUGUCUAACAACAACCUAAGUGGUAACUUCCCUUCAUGGUUGAUAGAAAAUAAUGUCAACCUAUCACACUUAGUUCUGGGUAGUAACUCCUUUGAAGGUCCUCUUCCUCCAUCCAAAGUACACACCAGUUUGCAAUGGUUGGAUGCAUCUUCUAACAGGCUAAGCAUAUUACCUGUUGACAUCAACACCACAUUACCAAAUCUGAGUUACAUAUCCUUAUCAGGGAAUUCUUAUAUGGGCAACUUUCCUUCUUCCUUUAGCUACAUGAAUAGUCUACAGUAUUUAGACUUGUCAUACAACAAUUUCUUAGAUGACAUUGCGGCUGCUUUUGUUGGAAAUAUGUCAAACAUCAUUGGUCUAAAACUCUCUGGAAACCAUUUCUAUGGUUCGUUCUCUCCAAACAUACUAUUACCUGCCAUUAAACAUCUAUUGCUCAGUGAUAAUGAAAUUGCUGGGAAAAUUCCUGAGAAGUUAUGUGGCAGUCUGAUACUUAUGACAUUUGAUGCUAGCAAUAACAAGUUGACCGGCCCGCUCCCUACUUGCAUAUCCGCACUCUCAGAACUUGCCAUUUUGAAUUUAAGAGGGAACUCAUUGGCUGGAUCGAUUCCGUCGGAAGUAUGCGACCUGCAAAAGCUUGUGUUUCUUGAUGUGUCAAAAAACAACCUUUCUGGUCCAGUGCAUUGCUUACCGGAUCUACGCUACCUUCAUAUGAGUAGAAACCGAUUAAAUGGAACCUUUCCUAUUCCAUUGUACUUGGGAAAUAAUAUCUAUACAAUGGAUCUCCAAGAAAACCAAUUCAGUGGUGUCCUUCCAAAGCUGAUAGGGAAGUCCUUCCCAAAGCUAAAAGUACUGUUAUUAAAAGGCAAUAUGUUCGAAGGGACAGUUCCAAAUGAUAUAUGUAGUUUGAAGUAUCUGCGUCUACUAGAUUUGUCUCAUAAUAGACUAUCAGGGCAGCUACCUUUAUGCCUGAACAUUAUGGGAUCCGAUGACAGUUUAUUUGAUUUCCAACCUGGUUUUGGAACUUUUCCUGUCUUAUUCAAUGUCAUUGGGCUGCCUGAUCAAGAGGAAUUCAUGACCAAGGGCAGGCAGGACAAAUACAGGGGAAACAUACUCAACUACAUGACUGGACUUGAUUUCUCUUCGAACCAGUUGAAAGGAUCCAUUCAUGAAAGUAUAGGUGGCAUGAAGUGGUUAAGGGCAUUGAAUUUCUCGGAAAACAAGUUUGAUGGAUCAAUACCACAGUCCUUAUCUAAUUUAAGUGAUCUGGAGAGCUUGGAUCUCUCGCACAACAACUUGGCAGGCCAAAUACCUUCAGAGCUAGUAGCAUUACAGUCCCUUGCGGUGUCAGUGGCAUGCAACAACCUUUCUGGUCCUACACCGGGAACAAAGGGGCAGUUCAUCACAUUUGAUUUGAGCAGCUACGAAGGCAAUCCGUAUCUCUGUGGCCCACCAUUGAAAAAGAGUUGCUUUGCGACGCCGUCGAUUCCUGAGCUCGAAGAAAAUGGAGAACAGGAUGAUAAAGUUGGUCAUAUCAUACUGUUUGGUUGUUCGGCGAUGUUCUACAUGGUUGGUUUCUGGACAUCCUUGGGUGUACUUUACUUUAAGACAAGCUGGCGACGGUCAUGGUUUUCUGUUGUGGAUAGGUUCGGUGAUUGUGUACUAGUUAAGUUUUUUGUAUUCACAAAAAAUAUUCGGAGCACCAAUUGA